GGCCACGCCCAGGCCACGCCCAUACCUGCAUCAGCUUGACAGUCAGCGCCACCUUCAGCCCCAGCACCCGCAGGCGCAGCGGCAGCAUGUAGAAAUAGCUGGUGGGGCCGCGGGGGCCGUGAGCGAUGCCACCUGCGGGGGGACAGGGGACACGGGGACAUCAUUGGGGACAUGGGGACAUCUCUGGGGACAUCACUGGGGACACAGGGACAUCACUGGGGACACCAUUGGGGACAUCACUGGGGACAUGGUGACAUCACUGGGGACACAGGGACAUCACUGGGGACACCAUUGGGGACAUCACUGGGGACAUGGUGACAUCACUGGGGACACAGGGACAUCACUGGGGACACCAUUGGGGACAUCACUGGGGACAUGGUGACAUCACUGGGGACACAGGGACAUCACUGGGGACACCAUUGGGGACAUCACUGGGGACAUGGUGACAUCACUGGGGACACAGGGACAUCACUGGGGACACCAUUGGGGACAUCACUGGGGACAUGGUGACAUCACUGGGGACACAGGGACAUCACUGGGGACACCAUUGGGGACAUCACUGGGGACAUGGUGACAUCACUGGGGACACAGGGACAUCACUGGGGACACCAUUGGGGACAUCACUGGGGACAUGGUGACAUCACUGGGGACACAGGGACAUCACUGGGGACACCAUUGGGGACAUCACUGGGGACAUGGUGACAUCACUGGGGACACAGGGACAUCACUGGGGACACCAUUGGGGACAUCACUGGGGACAUGGUGACAUCACUGGGGACACAGGGACAUCACUGGGGACACCAUUGGGGACAUCACUGGGGACAUGGUGACAUCACUGGGGACACAGGGACAUCACUGGGGACACCAUUGGGGACAUCACUGGGGACAUGGUGACAUCACUGGGGACACAGGGACAUCACUGGGGACACCAUUGGGGACAUCACUGGGGACAUGGUGACAUCACUGGGGACACAGGGACAUCACUGGGGACACCAUUGGGGACAUCACUGGGGACAUGGUGACAUCACUGGGGACACAGGGACAUCACUGGGGACACCAUUGGGGACAUCACUGGGGACAUGGUGACAUCACUGGGGACACAGGGACAUCACUGGGGACACCAUUGGGGACAUCACUGGGGACAUGGUGACAUCACUGGGGACACAGGGACAUCACUGGGGACACCAUUGGGGACAUCACUGGGGACAUGGUGACAUCACUGGGGACACAGGGACAUCACUGGGGACACCAUUGGGGACAUCACUGGGGACAUGGUGACAUCACUGGGGACACAGGGACAUCACUGGGGACACCAUUGGGGACAUCACUGGGGACAUGGUGACAUCACUGGGGACACAGGGACAUCACUGGGGACACCAUUGGGGACAUCACUGGGGACAUGGUGACAUCACUGGGGACACAGGGACAUCACUGGGGACACCAUUGGGGACAUCACUGGGGACAUGGUGACAUCACUGGGGACACAGGGACAUCACUGGGGACACCAUUGGGGACAUCACUGGGGACAUGGUGACAUCACUGGGGACACAGGGACAUCACUGGGGACACCAUUGGGGACAUCACUGGGGACAUGGUGACAUCACUGGGGACACAGGGACAUCACUGGGGACACCAUUGGGGACAUCACUGGGGACAUGGUGACAUCACUGGGGACACAGGGACAUCACUGGGGACACCAUUGGGGACAUCACUGGGGACAUGGUGACAUCACUGGGGACACAGGGACAUCACUGGGGACACCAUUGGGGACAUCACUGGGGACAUGGUGACAUCACUGGGGACACAGGGACAUCACUGGGGACACCAUUGGGGACAUCACUGGGGACAUGGUGACAUCACUGGGGACACAGGGACAUCACUGGGGACACCAUUGGGGACAUCACUGGGGACAUGGUGACAUCACUGGGGACACAGGGACAUCACUGGGGACACCAUUGGGGACAUCACUGGGGACAUGGUGACAUCACUGGGGACACAGGGACAUCACUGGGGACACCAUUGGGGACAUCACUGGGGACAUGGUGACAUCACUGGGGACACAGGGACAUCACUGGGGACACCAUUGGGGACAUCACUGGGGACAUGGUGACAUCACUGGGGACACAGGGACAUCACUGGGGACACCAUUGGGGACAUCACUGGGGACAUGGUGACAUCACUGGGGACACAGGGACAUCACUGGGGACACCAUUGGGGACAUCACUGGGGACAUGGUGACAUCACUGGGGACACAGGGACAUCACUGGGGACACCAUUGGGGACAUCACUGGGGACAUGGUGACAUCACUGGGGACACAGGGACAUCACUGGGGACACCAUUGGGGACAUCACUGGGGACAUGGUGACAUCACUGGGGACACAGGGACAUCACUGGGGACACCAUUGGGGACAUCACUGGGGACAUGGUGACAUCACUGGGGACACAGGGACAUCACUGGGGACACCAUUGGGGACAUCACUGGGGACAUGGUGACAUCACUGGGGACACAGGGACAUCACUGGGGACACCAUUGGGGACAUCACUGGGGACAUGGUGACAUCACUGGGGACACAGGGACAUCACUGGGGACACCAUUGGGGACAUCACUGGGGACAUGGUGACAUCACUGGAUGGAGCCGUGCCGGGCGCGGCCGGAGCCUUUCUGCCCCCAGGGUUUGGGGCAGUUUGGGGCAGUUUUUGGGGCAGUUUGGGGUUGUUUUGGGGCAGUUUUUGGGGUAGUUUUGGGGCAGUUUUUGGGGUAGUUUUGGGGCAGUUUUUGGGGUAGUUUUGGGGCAGUUUUUGGGGUAGUUUUGGGGCAGUUUUUGGGGUAGUUUUGGGGCAGUUUUUGGGGUAGUUUUGGGGCAGUUUUUGGGGUAGUUUUGGGGCAGUUUUUGGGGUAGUUUUGGGGCAGUUUUUGGGGUAGUUUUGGGGCAGUUUUUGGGGUAGUUUUGGGGCAGUUUUUGGGGUAGUUUUGGGGCAGUUUUUGGGGUAGUUUUGGGGCAGUUUUUGGGGUAGUUUUGGGGCAGUUUUUGGGGUAGUUUUGGGGCAGUUUUUGGGGUAGUUUUGGGGCAGUUUUUGGGGUAGUUUUGGGGCAGUUUUUGGGGUAGUUUUGGGGCAGUUUUUGGGGUAGUUUUGGGGCAGUUUUUGGGGUAGUUUUGGGGCAGUUUUUGGGGUAGUUUUGGGGCAGUUUUUGGGGUAGUUUUGGGGCAGUUUUUGGGGUAGUUUUGGGGCAGUUUUUGGGGUAGUUUUGGGGCAGUUUUUGGGGUAGUUUUGGGGCAGUUUUUGGGGUAGUUUUGGGGCAGUUUUUGGGGUAGUUUUGGGGCAGUUUUUGGGGUAGUUUUGGGGCAGUUUUUGGGGUAGUUUUGGGGCAGUUUUUGGGGUAGUUUUGGGGCAGUUUUUGGGGUAGUUUUGGGGCAGUUUUUGGGGUAGUUUUGGGGCAGUUUUUGGGGUAGUUUUGGGGCAGUUUUUGGGGUAGUUUUGGGGCAGUUUUUGGGGUAGUUUUGGGGCAGUUUUUGGGGUAGUUUUGGGGCAGUUUUUGGGGUAGUUUUGGGGCAGUUUUUGGGGUAGUUUUGGGGCAGUUUUUGGGGUACAUUUGGGGUCCAUUUGGGGUUAUUUUGGGGUGUUUGCUGUCACUCACCCCCACGCCAGAGCGGCGAGCGGAUGGAGCCGUGCCGGGCGCGGCCGGAGCCUUUCUGCCCCCAGGGUUUGGGGCAGUUUGGGGCAGUUUUUGGGGCAGUUUGGGGUUGUUUUGGGGCAGUUUUUGGGGUAGUUUUGGGGCAGUUUUUGGGGUACAUUUGGGGUCCAUUUGGGGUUAUUUUGGGGUGUUUGCUGUCACUCAC
rnacentral:lncRNA from 12 species